rnacentral:rRNA from 1 species
UACGGGGGGGGCAAGCGUUGUUCGGAAUUACUGGGCGUAAAGGGUUCGUAGGUGGCCGAUUAAGUCAGACGUGAAAUCCCUCAGCUCAACUGGGGAACUGCGUCUGAUACUGGUUGGCUUGAGUGCAGGAGAGGAACGCGGAAUUCCAGGUGUAGCGGUGAAAUGCGUAGAUAUCUGGAGGAACACCGGUGGCGAAGGCGACAUCCUGGACCGGUAUUGACGCUGAGGCGCGAAAGCCAGGGGAGCAAACGGG